UGAGGGUUCGUUUAUUUUAGUUGUUGUAGUUAAAACGCUCGUAGUUGGAGUAUUUCUUCAGCCUUCGGUUCCAAAUUGGUCCUUAGGUAUUGUUGAAUAUUCAAAAAUUGUAUUGUUUUUUUACAACGAUUUUUUUUACUGUGAACAAAAUUUAGCGCUCAAAGCAGGCUAAAUUAAAUAAAGAUUCUCCAUUCUCUUAAUUGAGUUUGGUUGAAUUGCCUUGAAAAGUUUAGCAUGGGAUAAUGGAAUAUGACCAAAUUGGAUUUUUGUUUUUUGUUGGUUUUUUACCUUUUUAUCCAAUUGGUAAUGAUUAAAAGGGACAGAUUUCAACUUCACUAAUUCAUUGUGUUUGUUCUGAAGCUUUGUUGAUUCCUCUGCGUUUCUCAUUGUGGAAGAAAGUUGAAAUUAUCGGGGGCGUUAAUAUUCAACGGGGAGAGGUGAAAUUCAACGAUCCGUUGAGGAUUAACAGGAGCGAAAGCGUUCGCCAAGGAUGUUUUCAUUAA
rnacentral:rRNA from 1 species